rnacentral:rRNA from 1 species
CCUACGGGAGGCAGCAGUGGGGAAUAUUGCACAAUGGGCGCAAGCCUGAUGCAGCAACGCCGCGUGAGGGACGACGGCCUUCGGGUUGUAAACCUCUUUUAGUAGGGAAGAAGCGAAAGUGACGGUACCUGCAGAAAAAGCACCGGCUAACUACGUGCCAGCAGCCGCGGUAAUACGUAGGGUGCAAGCGUUGUCCGGAAUUAUUGGGCGUAAAGAGCUCGUAGGCGGUUUGUCGCGUCUGCUGUGAAAACCCCGAGGCUCAACCUCGGGCCUGCAGUGGGUACGGGCAGACUAGAGUGCGGUAGGGGGGAUUGGAAUUCCUGGUGUAGCGGUGGAAUGCGCAGAUAUCAGGAGGAACACCGAUGGCGAAGGCAGAUCUCUGGGCCGUAACUGACGCUGAGGAGCGAAAGCAUGGGGAGCGAACAGGAUUAGAUACCCUGGUAGUCCAUGCCGUAAACGUUGGGAACUAGAUGUAGGGACCAUUCCACGGUUUCUGUGUCGCNGCUACGACAUUAACGUUACCCGUCCGUCGGGUAGGUACGGCCGCGACGACGUAAACUACGAAAGGAAGUUAGACGGCGUGAGACGUCGCCGAACGACGACGACGAGGGAGGUAGG